GACGAACGCUGGCGGCGUGCUUAACACAUGCAAGUCGAGCGGUCAGGCCUCUUCGGGGGUACACGAACGGCGAACGGGUGAGUAACACGUGGGUGACCUGCCCUCAGCUCUGGGACAAGCCUGAGAAACUGGGACUGAUACCGGAUAUGACCUUUCCUCGCAUGCGGUUUGGUGGAAAGUUUUUUCGGGUGGGGAUGGGCCCGCAGCCUAUCAGCUUGUUGGUGUGGCGAUGGCGUACGAAGGCGGCGACCGGUAGCCAGCCUGCGGAGGCGACCGGCCACACUGGGACGGAGGCACCGGCCGGGCAUCUACCGGAAGCAGCGGUAGGGAAUCGUGCGCAAUGGGCGGAAGCCUGGCGCAUCGACGGCGCGUGGAGGAUGGCGGCCUUCGGGUUGCAAACCUCUAUGGACCUCGACGAAUUUGGACGGUAGGGGUAGAAGAAGCCCCGGCCAACUACGUG
rnacentral:rRNA from 1 species